GACAGAGGGUGCAACCGUUGUUCGGAAUUACUGGGCGUAAAGCGCGUGUAGGCGGCCAUCUAAGUCGGGCGUGAAAUCCCUCAGCUUAACUGGGGAACUGCAUCCGAUACUGGAUGGCUUGAGUUUGGGAGAGGGAUGCGGAAUUCCAGGUGUAGCGGUGAAAUGCGCAGAUAUCAGGAGGAACACCGGUGGCGAAGGCGGAUCUCUGGGCCUUACCUGACGCUGAGGCGCGAAAGCUAGGGGAGCGAACAGG
rnacentral:rRNA from 1 species